GAACCAGUGUGGUGUAGUGGUUUGAGUGUUGGACUAUGACUCCAGAGACCAGGGUUUGAUUCCCAGCUUGACCA
rnacentral:tRNA from 1 species